GAUGAAGAACGUAGCGAAAUGCGAUAAGUAAUGUGAAUUGCAGAAUUCAGUGAAUCAUCGAAUCUUUGAACGCACAUUGAGCCCGCCAGUAUUCUGGCGGGCAUGCCUGUUCGAGCGUCAUUACAACCCUCAGGCCCCCGGGCCUGGCGUUGGGGAUCGGCGGAAGCCCCCUGCGGGCACAACGCCGUCCCCCAAAUACAGUGGCGGUCCCGCCGCAGCUUCCAUUGCGUAGUAGCUAACACCUCGCAACUGGAGAGCGGCGCGGCCACGCCGUAAAACACCCAACUUCUGAAUGUUGACCUCGAAUCAGGUAGGAAUACCCGCUGAACUUAAGCAUAUCAAUAAGCGGAGGA
rnacentral:misc_RNA from 1 species